GUGGAUGUAGCUCAAUUGGCAGAGCUCCGCACUGUGACUGCGGCGGUUGAGGGUUCAAGCCCCUUCAUCCACC
rnacentral:tRNA from 1 species